rnacentral:rRNA from 1 species
AUUGAACGCUGGCGGCAGGCUUAACACAUGCAAGUCGAGCGGGGGGAGGUAGCUUGCUACCGGACCUAGCGGCGGACGGGUGAGUAAUGCUUAGGAAUCUGCCUAUUAGUGGGGGACAACAUCUCGAAAGGGAUGCUAAUACCGCAUACGUCCUACGGGAGAAAGCAGGGGAUCUUCGGACCUUGCGCUAAUAGAUGGGCCUAAGUCGGAUUAGCUAGGGGGUGGGGUAAAGGCCUACCAAGGCGAAGAGCUGUAGCGGGUCUGAGAGGAUGAUCCGCCACACUGGGACUGAGACACGGCCCAGACUCCGACGGGAGGCAGCAGUGGGGAAUAUUGGACAAUGGGGGGAACCCUGAUCCAGCCAUGCCGCGUGUGUGAAGAAGGCCUUAUGGUUGUAAAGCACUUUAAGCGAGGAGGAGGCUACUUUAGUUAAUACCUAGAGAUAGUGGACGUUACUCGCAGAAUAAGCACCGGCUAACUCUGUGCCAGCAGCCGCCGUAA